CAAAAACAUCGCCUCCCGCAAAAAUCAACGUAUAGGAGGUCCUGCCUGCCCAGUGACUAUAAGUUAAACGGCCGCGGUAUUUUGACCGUGCAAAGGUAGCGCAAUCACUUGUCUUUUAAAUGAAGACCCGUAUGAAUGGUGGAACGAGGGCUUAACUGUCUCCCCCCUCCAGUCAAUGAAAUUGAUCUACCCGUGCAGAAGCGGGUAUAACAAUACAAGACGAGAAGACCCUUUGGAGCUUAAGAUAAAAGACCAACUAUGUCAAAAGUCCUAAAAAAACUAAACUAAAUAGCUCUGGUCCCAAUCUUCGGUUGGGGUGACUGCGGGAGAAAACACAGCUCCCAUGCGGACUGGGGAAGCCCCCUAAAACUAAGAGAGACAUCUCUAAGGCACAGAACAUCUGACCAAAAAGAUCCGGCUACAUGCCGACCAACGGACCAAGUUACCCUAGGGAUAACAGCGCAAUCCCCUUUCAGAGUCCAUAUCGACAAGGGGGUUUACGACCUCGAUGUUGGAUCAGGACAUCCUAAUGGUGCAGCCGCUAUUAAGGGUUC
rnacentral:rRNA from 1 species